AGAUGUGAGGAUGAUUUGGCUACGACAUCUGUCACCCCAUUGAUCGCCAGGGGUUGAUCUGGCUGAUCUGGCUGGAUAGCCGAGUGGCCCCUUCUUCCCUCGCCGCUCCAGGUGCCUCCAGAUGCUGCACACUUGGUAAAGAGGACAACCAUCCCCACUACAGGAGGACUGAUCCUUGGGCAGGGUAUACAGGGCAGUUGUAUUCCCAAAGAAGAACCACUGUUUGUGAUGAAUCAGAAAUAAAUAUAACCAGGAAAUAAAAUCAAACCUAAGUGUGCAGCUAAAUUAAUGGAUUGCAU
rnacentral:snRNA from 1 species